rnacentral:lncRNA from 1 species
ACAGAUAAAGAAUGGAACUUGUUCAUUACCUGUAACCAAUUUGAUGCUUUGCUUAGGUUCACACCUGUCAUGUCAAGGAACUCUAGGAAGGUAAGACCAAAAAUCCACUCAAGAUCCUCAGCAUUCAAAUAAGAAUUCCCAAUGUCAAGAUAAUGCAACUUGGAUAAAUUUCCGAGUUGAUGAGGAAUAACACCACCAAAAUCUGCACUAGAGAGGUUAAGAUAUCUUAAAUUGGAGAGGGCACCAAAGAAUUUUGGAAUAUUAAGGAACCCAAAGUAAUUACAGCUCAAGUCCAAGUAUCGAAGAUGCUUCAAGUCCAACAAAGAACUACUUAUCUCACCACCCAGAGAACCAUGAUCUGGAUAAAGAUCCCGUCGGAGGUUGAGCUUGAGAACAUGUCCUGUUGUGUUGUGACAACGAACUCCUUCCCAAUUACAACACUCUUCACUGACCCAAGAAGAGAGUCUAUUUGAAGGAUCAUGAAUGCCUCUUUUGAAGCUCUAAAGAGCUUCUCUUUCUUCUUCUCUGCAAAGAGCCUUUGGACUAUGCCCAGCACAAAAACCGAACUUUGUGAUUGUAGUGAAAAGAAAAUAGAGCAAGAGAACCACUAAACCUCUCAUGUACAACUCCAUUAGGCGAGAUGAUUUUAGAGCACACAAUGUGAAGGGUUUCAAGGAUUAUCUAAUAUUUAUAGUCAUUAGAGACAUGGCCGACAAGACUAUAGUGUUGCCUUAUUCUAAAAAUUUCUGAUGUCGAUAGGUCAAUUUAUUGUGUUAAAAAAGGAUAGCUGUGGAGUGUGGACUAGCUGUGUAUACGGAUAGGUUUCGUGGAAAAGAAAAUACAUGAAAUGGCAUAAUUACACUUGCUAUGAUGUAAGUUUAGAAAAGUAUUUCCAUGUUCUGCAAUUUUAAGUAAAAUCCAAUACUAUUAAAGAUGACAUAAUUAUAUAUUUUAUUAAAUAUAUAAUGCCGAUCUUGUCUCCAAUAACUUGUCGGUUGGAGUUCACUCUGGCUUUGAUAUUUUUACAAACUAAAUAAUUUUUAUUUAAGGAGAAUCUUAUUAGUAUUUUAUUUUUAUCAUUUUUCAUGUUAUUCAAAUAUAUGUAAAUCAUUUUCUCUUAUAUUUUUCUCUUUUAUUUAAUUAGCAUGUUUUAGGAACCAAACUUCAUCUUAAAAUUUUAGAAUAAGUUCAUUGCAUAAAUAAUUAAAAAAACAUUUCAUACAAAUGAUGGUUAAUACAUGUAUAUAUAAGAAAGUACAAGACAUUAGUUUUUAGAAAACAUUGGAUAGGGAUGGCAACGAGAUGAGUUCAGGAUGGAUUAUCUCCAUCCCAACCUCAUCCCAUUUAUUUAUAUCUAUUUUGGCUCAUCCCCACAAAAAAAAAAAAAAAAAAAAAAAAAAAAACAUUUAAAGAGGGCAAUAAAUGAGAAAGUAUAAGACAUUAGUUUCUAGAAACCAUUGGAUAAGGAUGGUAAAGGAGCAAGAUGGAUCACUCUCAUCCAAAUCUCAUCCCAUUUAUUUAUAUCUAUUCUCAUCCUUGCUAAAAAAAAUAAAAUAAUAAAAUUAAAUAGGGUUGGGUAGAAUUGGUAUAGGAAAUUCCAAUAAUCCCCAUAUGCCUCAUUUAUUUUUUAUUUUAAAAAUUUUAAAUAUUAUCUAUCAAUAAAGAAAUAUUAUAAAUAUUUAUAAUUUUGAAAAGUAAUAUUUUAUGUAUGUUAAAAAAUUUUGAAAAAAAACAAAAAACGAAAAUAAUUUUUUUAUUUAGAAUUACAUAUAAUUGGGGUGGGGUAGAGUGGGAAAAAGUUGUACCUAAACUCGCCCCAAACCCAUCUUGGUUUUUAAAACUUCACAAACUUGUCUUGAACCCAUUUAUCUUUAUCCCAAUCUCUUCCUAUUUGGGGAGGGAUGGGUAGGUAUUCAAAAAAACCUAUUCCAUUGUCAUCCCUACUAUUGGACCAUGAUGAAAUUAUCAUACAUUUUAUAUUAAAGAGUAAAAAUCACUUUAUAAAAGUAGAGAUACAUGUAGUAUGUACCACGCAUAAAUAUAAUGUUACACAUUAAUGUUAUACCUAUAACAGUAUCAUGACCUUAGCUUUCUCCGUGUGAAAAAUUUUAAAAUAUCAAGGAUUAUUUUUGGUAGUAGAAGGAUGACUCUCUCUUACCGUGGUUGACUUGCAAGUAAUGAGAGUGACCGUGACAAAAUUUUCCAUGAAAAGAAGAAAAGAUGAUCAUAUGGUCUUGUCCUCUUUGUGAUUUCCUCUACCAUAUUGCCCAACUAGUAAAAACCAAUGUCAUGGGAAUAUGGUCUGUUUGCAAUUAGGCUUGGUCGUGCUUGACUAGCAAAGAGGCAAAUGACAAAAUCUUCUGGGUUUUCUAAGUUAAUUAAAAGAAAAAUGCAAUUUUUCAAAUGAAAAUGUAAUUUCUAUUUCUCCGAGGAUACAUAAAUUUGUAUCUCCUCAUUCAAUAUGCCUUAUACACGAAGUAGUUUUAGGAUCAUCAUUUUUUCUCACUAAAUAAAAGAAGCUAUUGGCAACAGUGAUAAGUAUAGCCAUUAGCAGCAAAAAGAAGAUCGUGCAACCUUUAAUCACAGCUACUUAAAAGCCCAUUAAAACUUGCUUGCAUUUUAUAGAUGUAUUUUCAUCUUCAUUUCCAUGAAGAAAAUUUGGCAAUCAAAGAUAUAAUAUAUAUAUAUAUAUCUGUAUAGAACUUCACAUGUAUAUCUCAUUAGAGGACAUCUAUUCCUCUAUUUGCAUACAUAAUAAUCCAAAUUAUAUGUUUUAAUUUUUUGGGUCAACUUUCCACAUAGUUAGGAACAAAUAAUGAAAAAAAAAAAGUCAUCUAUUGACUCUUCUCGCUACCCAACAGCAGAAGCAGACAAUUGGCCUGUAGGUAGUGAGGGCACGAGCUUGACCCAUAGGCUAUGAAAAUGAGAUGGCUUUUAAAAAACUGCAUGCAGAAAUUGAAAGAAAUGAAAUUUUAAGCAACACGCCAAUGUGUAUAUACACAGUGGACAAUGAUCUUUGCCCGUAGGUGGUGAAAAUGAGAUGGCUUUAAAAAACUGCAUGCAGAAAUUGAAAGAAAUGAAAUUUUAAGCAACACGCCAAUGUGUAUAGACACAGUGGACAAUGAUCUUUGCCCGUAGGUGGUGAGGCAUGAGCUUGACCCAUAGGCUAUGAAAAUGAGAUGGCUUUUAAAAAACUGCAUGCAGAAAUUGAAAGAAAUGAAAUUUUAAGCAACACGCCAAUGUGUAUAUACACAGUGGACAAUGAUCUUUGCCCGUAGGUGGUGAGGCAUGAGCUUGACCCAUAAGCUAUGAAAAUGGGAUGGCUUUUAAAAACUGCAUGCAGAAAUUGAAAGAAAUGAAAUUUUAAGCAGCACGCCAACGGGGAAUCUAAAGCUCAAAAUGUGGAAUUCCUGUUGUCAAUGCAAUAUAUAUAUAUAUAUAUAUAUAUAUAUAUAUAUAUUUCCUUCAACACAGUGGACAAUGAUCUUUGCCCAUAGGUAGUGAGGGCAUGAGCUUGACCCAAAGGCUAUGAAAUGAGAUGGCUUUAAAGAACUGCUUGCAAAAGUUGAAAGAAAUGAAAUAUAUAUAUAUAUAUAUAUAUAUUUCCUUCAACACAGUGGAAAAUGAUCUUUGCCCGUAGGUAGUGAGGGCAUGAGCUUGACCCAGAGGCUAUGAAAUGAGAUGGCUUUAAAGAACUGCUUGCAGAAGUUGAAAGAAAUGAAAUUUUACUCAGCACGCCAAUGUGGAAUUCCCGUUGUCAAUGCAUUUGAUAACGAAGUUCAGACUCAUAAAAUUAAAAGUUUAGAGUAAAGAGAGAAAUUGAAGUUGAAGGUCAAGCCAUGAAAAGCCUGGGAACUUGAGGGAUUAGUUUUAAAUUCAAUUCAGCCGGCCGGCCAAAGCCACAAAAGGAACUUGGUUUCUCCUGUUGAGUAAUGGUGUUUACAUAAGUCGGCCCCUUUUCUCCCUCAAUAUGCCUAAGACAUGGUUGUAGGGUCUUUCUAACAAGAACUGAAAGGAGUUGUUAAUUAAUGUGGUGAUAAUAAACUACAGAACUUUUGUCAUGAAACAAUUGCUAUAGGUUCAAUAUCAUUUGUGAUUUGCUUAUAAAUUUAUCCAGAAUUGUAUUUCAUAUCUCACUGUUAAAUGUGUCUUUAUUUUUCCUUCCAUUACUUCAUGUACCUUUUUCGAAUGGAUAAUGAUUCUAGAGAAUAUUUAGCAAUGUGAAAGAUUAAGGUAAUGUUUGAUAAAAUAAAAAAUAAUUGGCAAUGUGCACUUAAAUCCUUUUUUCCAUGGUUAUUCCUUGUGCUUCAAAUGUCCCUAUACGUUUAGUGCCUUGGCCUCUACGCUCUGAGCGAGCCUCAACCUUGUUAAGAGUGCCUCAUGUUCAUCCUUGUUGUUCAUAACAUCGAAGCCUAGGCAUUCGAAUGGCCUUCUUAGGGUCAUAUCUUUAGGAGAUACUAAGGCCACCCAUGCUUUUGUAUGGACGUGGCUGUAGCUGAGCUGUCCACCCUAAAUUCCCAUGGCAAACUUAUGCUUAGGUUAGAUUCUCAUGUCAUGUCUGAUUCUUUACUUUUCGUGAAGUCUACCAGGAAAUUUGCAACCAUUUAUGUCUUCAAGGUGAUUGGCAUACAUGAGUCUGUUAAUUAUUAAUCAUAGCUGGUUUUAAAGAAACUUUCAGAGUUCUUGGCAUUGUUAUAAUCCUUUUAUCUGGCAUUAGGAUUUCGUCUUUGACAAGCAAACGUUCAGAAUGAGACCCUUGGGUGAUAAAAUGAUUAUAUAAAUUGCAAAGGUUUAAGGAACUGCUACAACAAACCAUGGCAAUCAACUUUGUGGAAACUGAAUGGAGUAAAUUACAGUAAGAUCGCAAAGUACUUGAGGUUGCAGUGAGGCAGCAACUUCAUGAAAAAAGACAAGUCCAAGUGCAAAAGCUAUAUAAUUUUUAUUAAUGAUGCCAAGCUAUAAGCCACAAAUGGAUAAUAAAUGGUGAAUGAAAGACUAGAAAAUGGAGUCAAGAUGAUAAGACUGAAUAUGUGAGCAGUUGAAACAAAUAUGAAUAUUGAAAGUAUAAAGCGACAAUGAGGUAGUGAAUUUCAUUAUCAUUGUGGAAGUAGCUUGAAAAUGCUGAACUCACCUACCUCUGAAGAUACUUCAGCUGUGGUUGCCAAGAAAAGUGAGUAAAGGCUAGGAAAGAAAAUAAAAAUUUUAAAUCAAGGAACCACCUGGGGCGGAUUUCAUCUAGGAAGAAAGAAACAUUUUAUGGGUUUUGCAAUAACUCAAAAUUUUAUUUCACAGAUUGCUUCUCUUACAUAUACAAUGACAUGAGAUCUGUUUGCAGUGAUUAACAUUUCUCUUGAUUAGAUGUGUUAGACUGACACUUCUAUCCAAAUAUUUAUUUUUUUGGUGUUUUUGAGUCAUGAAAACUCCAUGUUAGAUUUAUCUGAGCAACCGAAAUUAAUAGUCACAAAAGGAAAGUUAGGAUAUGAGUGUUGGGUUUCCCUUCUUUGUGGGACUCUUAAAUUUACUAAAUAUGGUUUUGCUAUUUUUGGCCAACACCUUGGUUAGCACAUGACUCUUGGCAUAUUCAAGAUUGGUUUGAAGUCUUCAAGGAAAGAAAAAGCUACAAGUCUUUUUGUCUUUUCCUUGGGUUCAUUAUCUUGGUCGGAAAGAAGACUUUUGGGAUACCUUUUUGGUUCAAACAAAAUAAAAAGAAAAUCAGCCUUCUUCUUCUCUAUUUUUUUUUGGUGCUACACAAUCAGCAAGUUUGUUCUUCAAGUGGGUAACGUUCCUUCACUUGAUAUUUGGGGUUUCUUGCGGUUUGUUCUUGGAGAUUUGGUUUACUUUUGUGAGGUAUUUUUCCUCUUGUAAUUUACACCUUGGUGUGUUUGUAAGGCUUAUGCCUUUUGGCCACUUUGUAAACUCUUUUGGUGAUAGUGGAAGAAACUGACCUACCGGUCGUCGUGGACGUACCUCAAGUUAUUUGAGGGAACCACGUAAAUCUUGUGUGCUCAUUUAUUUUCUGUUAUUCUAUUUAUAUUGCUUCCAUUGAUUUACACUUGUGGGAAAGCCUAGUUUUUUUUCAACAUCUGGUAUCAGAGCUGUUGGUUAAUUCGAUUCCGAUUCGUUAUAUUUGUGUGUGUGAAUUAUGGACGGCAAUGUUGGGCGUAUGGUUAGUUUCAAUGGCACAAAUUGGGUGACUUGGAAAACUAAAAUGGAAGACCUUUUGUUUUGUAAAGAUUUGAAUGGACCCAUAGAGGGUGAUAGUGGCAAACCGGAAGGGAUGAAAGAUGACGAGUGGAAAAAGCUAGACCGAAAAGCUGUCGGUUUUAUUCGGCAAUGGAUUGAUGAUAGUGUCUUUCAUCAUGUCUCUACAGAAAAUUCAGCACAUGGUCUUUGGACCAAAUUGGAGAGUCUUUAUGAUAGAAAGACGGCCGUGAAUAAAGCUUUUUUAUUUCGAAAGCUUGUGAAUUCUAAAUAUAAGGAGGGUACUCCUAUUGCAGAGCAUUUGAAUGAGAUUAAGAGCAUUGUGAAUCAAUUGGCCGCCAUGAAAAUUACCUUUGAUGAUGAGUUGCAAGCUUUGUUACUUCUUAGUUCACUUCCUGAAAGCUGGGAAACUUUGGUGGUCACAGUUAGUAACUCCACACCUGAUGGAGUGGUAACAAUGAGUCAAGUUACUAGCAGCCUGUUGAAUGAAGAGACAAGAAGAAAAUCAUCAGGUUCUUCUCACUCCGAGGCACUUGUGAUAGAAAAUCGAGGGAGAGGCAGGAGUAAGAGUAAGGCUUCGCACAACCGUGAUAAAUCUAGAGGUCGUUCAAGCUCGAUUUCAAAGAAAGAUGUUGAGUGCUAUUAUUGUCACAAGAAAGGGCACAUGAAGCGGGAGUGCAGAAAACUCAAGUUCAAGGAGCAGAACAAAGAGAAAAAUUCAGAGAAAAAGCAAAAUGAUACAGCUGUAGUUACCGAUGGUGAACUCAUGAUUAUUCGUGAUGAUGUUAGCGUUAAUUUGAUUGGCCAAGAGACGGAUUGGGUAAUUGAUUCUGGAGCUUCAUUUCAUGUUACUUCGCGGGCUGAUUUCUUUACUUCUUACUCGCAAGGUGAUUUUGGGAAUGUCCGUAUGGGAAAUGAAGAUGUGUCAAAAAUUGUCGGCAUGGGUGACAUUUGCUUGGAAACAAAUACUGGAUGCAAAUUGUUGCUUAGAGAUGUGAGGCAUGUACCGGAUAUUCGGCUCAAUUUAACGGAACUGAUAUUUUUGCAAAAAUCUGCAAGUGUGUUGUGAAUACCUUAGAGAAUGACUCAUCCACCGAUUUAUGGCAUAGAAGGCUUGGACAUAUGAGUGAGAAAGGAUUGCAAGUUUUAUCCAAGAAAGAGCUUCUAGCGGGGAUAAAAGGUACGCCUUUGAAAACAUGUGUUCAUUGUUUCCAUGGUAAACAAAAUAGAAUAUCAUUCCGUAGAAACAUUGCAUUUAGAAAAUCUCAUGUUCUAGAUUUGAUACAUUCUGAUGUGUGUGGUCCUUUGAAAGUUAGGACACUUGGUGGUGCUCAAUACUUUGUCACUUUUAUUGAUGAUCACUCUAGAAAAGUUUGGGCUUAUACACUGAAAACUAAAGAUCAAGUUCUAGAUGUGUUUAAGCAUUUUCAGGCCAAGGUUGAAAGAGAAACUGGUAGACAGUUGAAAUGUGUCCGCUCGGAUAAUGGUGGUGAAUAUAUUGGACCAUUUGAUCAGUAUUGCACUAAUCAUGGCAUCAGGCACGAAAAGACAGUAAAAAAGACACCUCAACAGAACGGGGUUGCAGAGAGAAUGAAUCGCACCAUUCUUGAGAGAGUCAGAUGUUUGCUCUCACAUUCUAAAUUGCCAAGAUCUUUUUGGGGUGAGGAAAUGAGGACAGCAGUUGAUCUUAUCAAUUUGUCUCCUUCAGUUCCGUUGAAUGACAAAUUUGUCUCCUUCAGAUCUCAUGUACGCAAAUUGUUGUAUGACAAAUUUAAAUGGCUCAAAAAUGAUAUUUUUGCCAUACCUUGAGGAAUAACACCAGAAAGUCUGUUCAUGGAGAGAUCAAGAGACUCCAUUGAUGUCAUGGCCCCAAUCUUCACAGGAAUCUUCCCUUGGAGAUGGUUAUUAGACAGGUUCAAGAAUACCAAACCAUGGAGACCUGUGAGUUCUUCUGGGAUCUCACCAGAUAACUUAUUGCUUGAGAGGUCCAUGCCAGCUAGGAGGCCAAGAAUAUUGCUGUACUCGUACUCUACUCCUUUCAUAACCAGUGUUGCUGUGUCGGUUGAUCCCGAUUCAAAAUAACGUUCAUUAUGAAAAGGAAAGGGGGAACUUGAAUUCGAUUGUUUGAUCAUGCUGCUGAAAUUACCAAAGCAUCUGGGAAUGGUUCCGGAGAGAUUGUUGUUUCCCAAGUCCAGGAUUUGAAGGGAAUGAAGGUGGCAAAGUUCAAGAGGAAUACUUCCAUUGAACUUAUUUGAAUGAAGGACAAGAACCAUUAGACCCGGUGUAUAUGUAAUCUCACCAUCCCCUGGUAAUAUUUCAAUGAACUUUCCAUUGAAGUUCCCCAUCCAUGCUGGUAUCGUCCCAGUGAAUUCAUUCUUACUAAGGUCUAGAACCACUAGACUAGAGCAAUUUUUCAAUGGAAGUGGAUAAUUUCCGGAGAGAUGGUUGUUGCGCAAGUGCAAUGAACCGAGCCAAAUUAGAGAACCCAUGGAGCUAGGUAUAUGUCCCGUCAGAUUAUUAUUUCCCAAUUUUAACAUCGUCAAUUCUCUCCAAUACAUCCAACAAUUGGGAAGUUCUCCUGACAGAAGAUUUCCUGAGAUGUCUAGAGACUCCAAUAAAUUUACUUCUUUAUCAGUUCUCCGACACAACAUGGGUGAAAGAGAUCCACAGAAUAAAUUAUUGGAGAGGUCUAGUCUUUCUACAUCAGAAGAGAUUUGGGGCAGUGGAUCAGUAAAAUUGUUUGAGCCAAGAUUGAUUGAUGAAAAAUGUAAACUUGGAAUACUACCAAUGAUUUGGUUGUGAGAUAGAUCUACAGUACUAAGUGAUCGAGUCCAAAACCAAGCUGGGAUGACACUGGAGAUUCCUGCAUAGGACAUGUUUAGAUCUUCCAAAUACUCCUGUGUUUGAAGCCAUGCAGGAAAUUGAGGCCCUAGAAGGCAAGAACCCAAGUAUAAGUAUGUGAGUUGAAAAGGAGGAGUCCAGUUGGAGCUGACUUGCAAAGUUAACAAGUUUGAAGAUGCAUCCAAUUCUUCUAAACUUGUUAGAUUGCCAAGGUGCUUUUCAGACAUAAUACCCUUGAAGAAAUUUUCCCUAAUGUUUAGAUAACUUAAGGAUGAAAUUCCUCCUAAUGAGAUAGGAAUCUGACCAGAAAACAAGUUUCUAUCAAUGGAAAGGUAGGAUAAACUUUUGAAUUGGCCAAUUUCACUGGGCAAAUAACCUUAAAGCUGAUUCAUUCCCAAGUCUAAAUGCUCUAAACUUUUACAUUCUCCGAGAGUAUCUGGAAAAGAACCCGAAAGUUUAUUUCCUCUCAACCUUAAAAGCUCUAGACCUUUUUGAGGCCUAUCAUAUGACAAAUUCGAAAGUUGGAAAGUACAAAGAUUUCCUAGAGAUCUUAGUAUUUCUCCUUCAAGAGCAUUGUAUGAUAGGUCAAGAUAUGUGAUAGAGGUGAGAUUUCCAAUAUCAUUUGGAAGCUUACCUUGAAACUUGUUAGAUACAAUGUCAAGGGAUCCAAGAUCGAGGUGUUCAAGGCUAGUUAUAUGAUAUAACCAAUCAGGAAUAGAAGAAGCAAAAUUGUUAUAGGAAAGAUCUAGGAAUCUAAGAGAAGUCAUGUUACGAAGACCUGAUGGAAUUGGACCUUGAAUAUAACUGGAUGCUAGAUUAAGAGUAACAAGAGAAUUAAGAUUCGCAAACCAAUCAAAUGAUGAAGACAUAAAAUAAUUAAUUGAAAGGUCAAGGAUGACUAAAGAUGAAAAAUUGACAUGCGGGAGAGGGUCAAUAGUAUGAAGCUCACAAUAAGAUAAGCGUAGCACAGAUAAAGAAUGAAACUUAUUCAUUACCUGUAGCCAAUUUGAUGUUUUGCUUAGGUUCACAUUUGUCAUGUCAAGAAACUUUAGGAAUGAAAAACUAGAAAUCCAUUCAAGAUCCUCAGCAUUCAAAGAAUUUCUAUGGUCGUAAUAAGAAUUCCCAAUGUCGAGAUAAUGCAACUUGGAUAAAUUUCCAAGUUGAUGAGGAAUAACACCACCAAAACUUGCAGUAGAGAGGUUAAGAUAUCUUAAAUUGGAUAAGGAACCAAGGAAUUUUGGAAUAUUAAGGCUCCCAAAGUCAUUGCAACUCAGGUCCAAGUAUUGAAGAUGCUUCAAGUCCAACAAAGAACUACUUAUCUCACCACCCAGAGAACCAUGAUAUUGAUAAAGAUCCCAUCGGAGGUUGAGCUUGAGAACAUGUCCUGUUGUGUUGUGACAACAAACUCCUUCCCAAUUACAACACUCUUCACUGGCCCAAGAAGAGAGUCUGUUUGAAGGAUCAUGAAUGCCUCUUUUGAAGCUCAAAAGAGCUUCUCUUUCUUCUUCUCUGCAAAGAGCCUUCGAACCAUGUCCAUCACAACAACCGAACUUUGUGGCUAGAGUGAAAAGAAAAUAGAGCGAGAGAACCACCAAACCUCUCAUGUACAACUCCAUUAGGCUAGAUGAUUUUAGAGCACACAAUGUGAAAGGUUUCAAGGAUUAUUUAAUAUUUAUAGUCAUUAGAGGCAUGACCCACAAGACUAUAGUGUUGUCUUAUUUCUAAAAAUUUCUAACAUUGAGAGCUCAAUUAUUGUAUUAAAAAAGGAUGGUUGUGGAGUGUGGACUAGUUGUGUGCAUGGAUAAAUUUCAUGUAAAAGAAAAUACAUGAAAUGACAUAAUUAAUUACAUAUGUAAAAUGAAUCCUAUUAGUAUUUUUUUAUUCUUAUCAUUUUCCAUGUUAUUUAAAUAUGUGAAAAUCAUUUUUUUUUUAUAUUUUUCUCAUUUAUUUAACUAGUAUUUUUUAGGAACCAAACAUGGUAUUAAACUUAUAUAGAAUAAGUUUAUUACAUAAAUCAUCUAUAAAAAAAAUUCAUACAAAUGAUGGCUAAUAAUAUAUAUAUUAUUGAAUUAUUGUCCAUAGAAGGAUGACUCAACUCUCCUGCCGUGUUUGACUUGCAAGGAAUAUUGAGAGUGACCGUGACAAAAUUUUCCACAAAAAGAAGAAAAAAUGACAAUAUAAUCUUGUCCUCUUUUGUGUUUGCAAUUAGGCUGGGCCAUGCUAUUCAACACCAAUUAAUCACCCAAUCUAUUUAUAUAUUCAUAUCUGCAUAAAAUUAAACUUCACAUAUACAUCUAAUUAAAGGACAUUUAUUCCUCUAUUUGCAUACAUAAUAAUCCAAAUUAUAUAUUUUAGUUAUUUGGGUGAAUUUUCCAUAUAGUUGGGAACAAGUAAUAAAAAAUAAUGAAAAAAAAAGUCAACUAUUUAUCUUCCUUCAUGAUCAUGGAUAGAGCAAAAUAAAACUAGGAAAGAAUUCAAAUUCUUUUAUUUGGUUGGGAGGAAGAAUAUUAAAGGAAAAGUUAAAUUUGAUCAGAAUUAUGUAAAACAAUAUAUGUAUUUUAAAAUUCUUUAUUAUUUAUAUGACAACAAAAAAAACAAAUUUUAAAAUCAUGUGGAAAAAAAUUAUUAAUAUAUAAACAUAUUUAUAAAUAAAUAAAUAUUUAUUUAUUUAUUUUAUUUCUUUAAUUUUUUUUAUUUCAUUUUUUCCACUGUGUAUACCUUCAUCUAAAAUAAGUAAAUAUACAUUUCAACCCUUUUAUAUAAGAAAAAUUCAAUCUCUACUAUGUAUUGAUAUAAUCCACUUCUAAAAUUAGGUUAUAUGAAAACAUUUUAAUUGAGUACUUAAAAUAAAAACUCUCCAUCCAUCCUCUUUAUUUCUUUUUUUUUUUCUUAUUUUAAUAAGUUUUCAAUUAAUUCAAAUCAUUAAAAAAAUCCUUAAUAAAUAAAUUUGUAACAUUUCAUAUAACUUAUUAUUAAAAGUCAUGUUCAAAAAGUUAUUAAAAUAAGGAAGGAAGAAGAUUAAAAAAAAAUUAAACUUUUUAUUUUAUAAUAGUAAAAAAAAAGUUUAAAAUACUUUUUAGUAUAAAAAAAAUUAAAAUAGUGAAUCUAUUUAUUUUAAAUGGUAUUUGAAUCAUUAAAUUAUUUACUUCUAAAAUGUAAAAGAUAAAAAUAAAUGUAAAAUAUAAUUUUUAUUUAUUUAAAUUAAUAUUUUUUAAAAAAGUAUUUUCCAAAAUAGUCUUUGGAUCAUUAAUAUAAUUUUUAUUUAUUUAUAAUUUAAAAAUAAAAAAUAAUGUUAAAUUUUCAAUUAUUUAUAAAAGAGUUUAAAAAAAUAAUGAAAAAUCUAAUAUAGUUAAAUAAGAAAGAAUAGUGGCAAGUAGUAGGAUAAAAACAAAAAUGAGUCAAGUGAUAUUUUUGUUAAUUAUUAUCACAUAAUUACAGAUGAUUGGAGGAUUUUAUCUUAAUUAGAGAGAGAGAGAGAGAGAGAGAGAGAGAGAGAGAGAGAGAGAGAGAGAGAGAGAGAGAGAGAGAGAGAGAGAGAGAGAGAGAGAGAGAGAGUUUAAAAUAUCAAGAAUUAUUUGUGGUUGUAGAAGCAUGACUCUUUGUCCCAUUUUCUCCAAUUUUGUUGAGCAUUAAAAUUUUUGAAAUUGAAUUAUUGUCCUUAGAAGGAUGACUCAACUCUCUUGCCAUGCUUGACUUGCAAGUAAUGAGAGUGACCGUGACAAAAUUUUCCAUGAAAAAUGCAACAAGGCAAUCUAACACGUCUUUAUGCUGGGGGGUCAUCAUAGAAACAGUACACUCACUAUUUAUUAUAUUAAAAUAAAUAUAUUUGAUAAAUAAUUAAAAUAUUAUAAUUUUUUUUUAAGUAGAAAAAUAUAGGAUAAGACAAAAUAAUAUCUAAACCCACCCGAAUCCAACCCGAGUAUUAAAAAAAUCUCAAACCCACUGCAAACGUGUAUUCAAAUUUCAAAUUUGUCCUACGGAGUGGAAAAAACCCGCCCGGGACAGUUGCCAAAUCUGACUAGCAAAGAGUGUGGAAAGAUUUUCAGUGGUUGGAUUUGGCUUUUUAGGCGUUAGGUUUAGUGGUUGACUUGGAAAUGUGAUGCGCAUUAUUGAGGAUGCGCAAUAUAUCUAUAGAAACUUAGCCCAAUCAACAAGAUGGGGCUGUGAGUGGAGAAAAAAGCUAUGAAUUCUACUCAUAUUGUCGAUGAAAAAUUUGAGAAGAAACAUGAUGAUGUUUUUGGUAUAGUUGAUAAAAAAUUUAUUGACUAUUAAAUUUUACAUUCUAAAUGUUUUUUUUUUCAUGUGUUGGUAUAAGAAGUGGUUUGAUAUCUAUAGGAAUGUAAUGCUAAUAUUAUUUAAGUGGGCAAUGAUUCAAAAUUUAAAUUCAUAGUGAUUGGUACCAUAAAAGUGAGAGUGCUUAAUGGUGUUGUAAGGACAUCGAGUAAUUUUUUUUUCUCGGUGAAGAAUGAUAUUAUAAAUUUCAACAAAAGUGCUUUGAUAGCUAUGAAAGGGGAAAAGAUGAAAAAAUUAUGUACUUUAAUUGGAAAGAUAAUUUACGGUAGAGCUCUUAAGGUGGAGUCAUGCCAUGAAGAGUCUUUUACUGGUGUUAAAGAAAUUUUCAAGAGUAGAUGAACAUGAUAAGAUGAUUAGAACACUAUUUUUCGGCUAAAAGUACCCAUUGACAUAAGGAUGAAAGCAAUUUCAAAAUAAAUAAAGUAAUGAAGAAGACAAAGGCGGUUUCUAGAGUCGGGUUCAAUGAGAGUUUGAACUUGACAUAUGUUUAUUCUCAUUAAAUGUAUAGGAUUAAGAAAACUUAAGUCGAGAUGGAGAUUGUUGGUAUUUAACUGAAACUAUUUAUUUUUAAUUUUUAAGAAAGUUAAUAUUUAUAGAAGUUGUAUUUUUGUAAAUUAUUUAUUAACAAAAAGUAAUUGGAGCCGUUUGGAGCAAUAAGAAAAUUGUUUGCUAAGUUUGUAACUAGAUGCAUAAAAAUUCAUGCAUAUUUCAAUAUCAUUAAAAUUAGUUAAAAACUUUUGCAUUUUCCAAUUAUUUCAUUGUUAUAUAAAAGAAUUAAAACAGAUGAGAUGAGUUUAAAGUGACAUACAAAAUAAAUAAUUAAAUUUAAAUUUAUAGUUUUCUUUUUUAUUUUAUUAUUUUUACUUUUGCCUUUAUUUUUUUCUUUCACAUUUUUUUAAGAACCAAACAUGAACUUUAUAUGAAAUUCCCCAUAAAAAUAAAUAAUAAAAAAAGUAAAAAAUCGUAAGUUAAUGAAUCACAAUACUAAAAGUGUGUUUAACAGUGAUUACAUCAAACUUUUUUAAUAUUUUUAACAUUUGAAAAUUUUUAUCUUUUUAAGUGUCAGAAGGAUAAAAAACGCUUUCGACAAUCAUUGUUAAACAGGCUUUAAAGAUCUAUCUUAACUAACCAUUCCCUUCCAUAAUUACCAUAUUUUUCAUAAGUAAGAUGAAUUUUACAAAUACACAAUGUUAUUCACAAUGGAAGAAAUAUCAAAUAUAAAAACUCAUGUUUCUUCAAAUUAGGAUAUCAUUUCGAAGUUUUAGCGAUGAGGCUUUGGUAAAGUAGAUUGGGGCUGUGUGAGGGAGAGUAGAGACGAAGUGACUCGAUUUGGGUCUUUGACACGUUUUUAUUCCAUGCCAUGUCAUCCUCCAGCUUGGUAUCCAAUUCAGAUACUCAUUGAAGCUUAGGCGUGAAACUCUUCAAAGGGGAUUGUUCUUCAACUUUAGCCUUUUUUGUAUUGCCACUAACCACUAAAUAGGCGGAUUUUAGAAAAUGAAUACAGUAUUUUUUAAAAUAUGAUAAUUAAAAAAUUAUUUCCAAUUCCAUGACAAUUUGUAUGAUUUUUUUUUUUUUAAUACAUCAUUGGAAAACACAAGAAAACGACGUCGUUCGAAGCAGAACUGUAAAGCGCCCUUCGGCCUAGCAUCGACUCUCUUCACUGCAAUCGGUGGCUUUUGCGGUCUCUCUCUAGCUCUAGGUAUCAGAUCUCUUCGUUUAUUAAAAUUUUUCUUUGUUUGUUUGAUGAGAAACUAAAAGAAAAUGAGAUAGAUGGAAUGUUCUGAAUCCUAAAGUUUUCAUCAUUUACACCUGGUGGAAACAGAAUCUUCCCCUAAAUUAGCGUUGUAUGAGUAUUUAGCUGAAUUUAGAAUUUUCAAUUUCUUUUCUUUUCCUUAAUUUUAUCAGCACCCAAGCAGUCAUUUAGGGUUUUUCUGGCUUGAGAUAUUGGCAUUUGAUCUAUUUGAUUUUUAUUCUAGUUCAGAAAAAUGUAAAUAUAUUUGCUAAAGAAUUAGAAUAACCAAAAAUUGAUCAUGGAAUUGAGCUAAAAAUUUUCCGGUGCUGCAGAAACUUCAAAAACAAAAAAGUUUGUGUCUCGUCUUAAUUCACAUCCAUAUUUAGCGUUGUUGGGUGAAUUCAUCAAUAAGGAAAAAUGCAGUUCUUUGGAGGGUCGGAGAUCAGCCCAUUGCCGCCGCUGCCAACAGCAUCGGGAAACAAUGCCCACAUAAUGUAUGUGUUUAACAGGAAUGGGGUGUGCUUGCUUUACAGGGAAUGGAAUCGCCCUCUUAGGACUCUGAAUGCCCAGCAAGACCAUAAGCUCAUGCUUGGUCUCCUUUUCUCUCUGAAGUCCUUAACAGCUAAGAUGGAUCCCACUAGUUAUAUCUUCUUCCUAGUCUUUUAUUCGAAUUGGAACUGUUUUCGGGGUGUUUAGGUGUUUUGUGGAAAUGGAAUUACUUGAUUUUGUAUUUGGAUAACUUUUGAAAGCAUAAAUUCAUUGUUUGGAAUACAAUUAUAACAUAUAUGUAAGAAGAAAGAAAUCAGGAUGAGCAAAAGGACAUAAUUUGAACUGAUAAAUUCAAACUUGGGAUCAGUAAAAAAAACAUGGAAAACAAGGUUGCCAAAUUUAUUUGCAAUUACAAACACCAUCCGAGUAGUUUAUACUUCACGUCGUCCAGCAACCGAAAAUAAGCAUGUCUCCAAGCUCUGUUGAAUGCUAAUGGAGCCAAAAUGGCCCAAAAGCCAACCACGAAACCCCAUGGCAUACCCAAAUAGAACCAUUUCAUAUCAAUCCAUCCAUUGUCCUCUUCAUCAUCAUUGUCCGGAAUUGGACCUUUUGGUUUACCAUCUUCCCCACAACCAUCAGUCAGUGGAGCUCCACAAAGCUCCGGGUUGCCAAUGAAACUGAGGGGACUAAAGCCUUGGAUCUGGGUGCCUGAUGGAAUUUUGCCAGACAAGUUGUUGUAUGACAAAUUUAAAUUGCUCAAAAAUGAUAUAUUUGCCAUACCUUGAGGAAUAACACCAGAGAGUCUAUUCAUGGAGAGAUCAAGAGACUCCAGUGAUGUCAUGGCCCCAAUCUUCACAGGAAUCUUCCCUUGGAGAUGGUUAUUAGACAGGUUCAAGAAUAUCAACCCAUGGAGAUCUGUGAGUUCUUCUGGGAUCUCACCAGAUAACUUAUUGCUUGAGAGGUCCAUGCCAGCUAGGAGGCCAAGUGUAUUGUCGUACUCGUACUCUACUCCUUUCAUAACCAGUGUUGCUGUGUCGGUUGAUUCCGAUUCAAAAUAACGUUCAUUAUGAAAAGGAAAUGGGGAACUUGAAUUCGAUUGUUUGGUCAUGCUGCUGAAAUUACUAAAGCAUCUAGGAAUGGUUCCCGAGAGAUUGUUGUUUCCCAAGUCCAGGAUUUGAAGGGAAUCAAGGUGGCAGAGUUCAAGAGGAAUACUUCCAGUGAACUUAUUUGAAUGAAGGACAAGAACCAUUAGACCCGGUGUAUAUGCAAUCUCACCAUCCACUGGUAAUGUUUCAAUGAACUUUCCAUCGAAGUUCCCCAUCCAUGCUGGUAUCGUCCCAGUGAAUUCAUUCUUACUAAGGUCUAGAACCACUAGACUAGAGCAAUUUUUCAAUGGAAGUGGAAAAUUUCCGGAGAGAUGGUUGUUGCGCAAGUGCAAUGAACCGAGCCAAAUUAGAGAACCCAUGGAGCUAGGUAUAUGUCCCGUCAGAUUAUUAUUUCCCAAUUUUAACAUCGUCAAUUCUCUCCAAUACAUCCAACAAUUGGGAAGUUCUCCUGACAGAAGAUUUCCUGAGAUGUCUAGAGACUCCAAUAAAUUUACUUCUUUAUCAGUUCUCCGACACAACAUGGGUGAAAGAGAUCCACAGAAUAAAUUAUUGGAGAGGUCUAGUCUUUCUACAUCAGAAGAGAUUUGGGGCAGUGGAUCAGUGAAAUUGUUUGAGCCAAGAUUGAUUGAUGCAAAAUGUAAACUUGGAAUUCUACCAGAGAUUUGGUUGUGAGACAGAUCAACUGUAUCAAAGGAUCGUGUCCAAAACCAAGCUGGGAUGACACUAGAGAUUCCUGCAUAGGACAUGUUUAGAUCUUUCAAAUACUUCUGUGUUUGAAGCCAUGCAGGAAAUUGAGGCCCUGGAGCUGACUUGCAAAGUUAACAAGUUUGAAGAUGCAUCCAAUUCUUCUAAACUUGUUAGAUUGGCAAGGAGCUUUUCAGAUAUUAUACCCUCGAAGAAGUUUUCCUUAAUGCUUAGAUAACGCAAGGAUGAAAUUCCUCCUAAUGAGACAGGAAUCUGACCAGAAAACGAGUUUCCAUCAAUAGAAAGAGAGGACAAGCUUUCUAAUUGACCAAGUUCAUUGGGCAAAUGACCUGAAAGCUGAUUCAUUCCCAAGUCUAAACCCUCUAAACUUUUACAUUCCCCAAGAGUAUCCGGAAAAGAACCUGAAAGUUUAUUUCCCCUCAAGCUUAAAAACUCUAGACUUUUUCUAGGCCUAUCAUAUGACAAAUUCGAAAGUUGGAAAGUACAAAGAUUUCCAAGAGAUCUCAGCACGUCUCCUUCAAGAGCAUUGUAUGAUAGGUCAAGAUAUGUGAUAGAAGUGAGAUUUCCAAUAUCAUUUGGAAGCUUACCUUGAAACUUGUUAGAUACAAUGUCAAGGGAUCCAAGAUCGAGGUGUUCAAGGCUAGUUAUAUGAUAUAACCAAUCAGGAAUAGAAGAAGCAAAAUUGUUAUAGGAAAGAUCUAGGAAUCUAAGAGAAGUCAUGUUACGAAGACCUGAUGGAAUUGGACCUUGAAUAUAACUAGAUGCUAGAUUAAGAGUAACAAGAGAAUUAAGAUUCGCAAACCAAUCAAAUGAUGAAGACAUAAAAUAAUUAAUUGAAAGGUCAAGGAUGACUAAAGAUGAAAAAUUGACAUGCGGGAGAGGGUCAAUAGUAUGAAGCUCACAAUAAGACAAGCGUAGCACAGAUAAAGAAUGAAACUUAUUCAUUACUUGUAGCCAAUUUGAUGCCUUGCUUAGGUUCACAUUUGUCAUGUCAAGAAACUCUAGGAAUGAAAGACCAAAAAUCCAUUCAAGAUCCUCAGCAUUCAAAGAAUUGCUAUGGUCGUAAUAAGAAUUCCCAACGUCGAGAUAAUGCAACUUGGAUAAAUUUCCAAGUUGAUGAGGAAUAACACCACCAAAACCUGCAGUAGAGAGGUUAAGAUAUCUUAAAUUGGAUAAGGAACCAAGGAAUUUUGGAAUAUUAAGACUCCCAAAGUCAUUGCAGCUCAGGUCCAAGUAUUGAAGGUGCUUCAAGUCCAACAAAGAACUACUUAUCUCACCACCCAAAGAACCAUGAUCUUGAUAAAGAUCCCGUCGGAGGUUGAGCUUGAGAGCAUGUCCUGUUGUGUUGUGACAACGAACUCCUUCCCAAUUACAACACUCUUCAUUGGCCCAAGAAGAGAGUCUGUUUGAAGGAUCAUGAAUGCCUCUUUUGAAGCUCAAAAGAGCUUCUCUUUCUUCUUCUCUGCAAAGAGCCUUCGAACCAUGUCCAUCACAACAACCGAACUUUGUGGCUAGAGUGAAAAGAAAAUAGAGCGAGAGAACCACCAAACCUCUCAUGUACAACUCCAUUAGGCUAUAUGAUUUUAGAGCACACAAUGUGAAAGGUUUCAAGAAUUAUUUAAUAUUUAUAGUCAUUAGAGGCAUGACCCACAAGACUAUAGUGUUGUCUUAUUUCUAAAAAUUUCUAACAUUGAGCGCUCAUAAUUAAUUACAUAUGUAAAAUGAAUCCUAUUAGUAUUUUUUUUAUUCUUAUCAUUUUCCAUGUUAUUUAAAUAUGUGAAAAUCAUUUUUUUUUUCUCAUUUAUUUAACUAGUAUUUUUUAGGAACCAAACAUGGUAUUAAACUUAUAUAGAAUAAGUUUGUUACAAAUCAUCUAUAAAAAAAAAAAUUCAUACAAAUUAUGGCUAAUAAUAUAUAUAUUAUUGAAUUAUUGUCCAUAGAAGGAUGACUCAACUCUCCUGCCGUGUUUGACUUGCAAGGAAUAUUGAGAGUGACCGUGACAAAAUUUUCCACAAAAAGAAGAAAAAAUGACAAUAUAAUCUUGUCCUCUUUUGUGUUUGCAGUUAGGCUGGGCCAUGCUAUUCAACACCAAUUAAUCACCCAAUCUAUUUAUAUAUUCAUAUUUGCAUAAAAUUAAACUUCACAUAUACAUCUAAUUAAAGGACAUUUAUUCCUCUAUUUGCAUACAUAAUAAUCCAAAUUAUAUAUUUUAGUUAUUUGGGUGAAUUUUCCAUAUAGUUGGGAACAAGUAAUAAAAAAUAAUGAAAAAAAAAGUCAACUAUUUAUCUUCCUUCAUGAUCAUGGAUAGAGCAAAAUAAAACUAGGAAAGAAUUCAAAUUCUUUUAUUUGGUUGGGAGGAAGAAUAUUAAAGGAAAAGUUAAAUUUGAUCAUAAUUAUGUAAAACAAUAUAUGUAUUUUAAAAUUCUUUAUUAUUUAUAUGACAACAAAAAAAACAAAUUUUAAAAUCAUGUGGAAAAAAGUUAUUAAUAUAUAAACAUAUUUAUAAAUAAAUAUUUAUUUAUUUAUUUUCUUUAUUUCUUUAAUUUUUUUAUUUCAUUUUUUCCACUGUGUAUACCUUCAUCUAAAAUAAGUAAAUAUACCUUUCAACCCUUUUAUAUAAGAAAAAUUCAAUCGUUACUAUGUAUUGAUAUAAUCCACUUCUAAAAUUAGGUUAUAUGAAAACAUUUUAAUUGAGUACUUAAAAUAAAAACUCUUCAUCCAUCCUCGGUAUUUCUUUUUCUUUUUCUUAUUUUAAUAAAUUUUCAAUUAAUUCAAAUCAUUAAAAAAAAUCCUUAAUAAAUAAAUUUAUAACAUUUCAUAUAACUUAUUACUAAAAGUCAUGUUAAAAAAGUUAUUAAAAUAAGGAAAGAAGAAGAUUAAAAAAAAAUUAAACUUUUUAUUUUAUAAUAGUAAAAAAAACUUUAAAAUACUUUUUAGUAUAAAAAAUUUAAAAUAGUGAAUAUAUUUAUUUUAAAUGGUAUUUUAAUCAUUAAAUUAUUUACUUCUAAAAUGUAAAAGAUAAAAAUAAAUGUAAAAGAUAAUUUUUAUUUAUUUAAAUUAAUAUUUUUUUAGAAAGCAUUUUCUCUUUGGAUCAUUAAUAUAAUUUUUGUUUAUUUAUAAUUUAAAAAUAAAAAAUAGUGUUAAAUUUUCAAUUAUAUCAAUUAUCCCAUUUCUAAAAUUCUUUACUCAAUUAUUGAAUUCAAAAAGGACGGCUGUGGAAGAAAUAACAUUGAUUUCACAGAGAGAGAGAGAGAGAGUUUAAAAUAUCAAGAAUUAUUUGUGGUUUUACAAGCUUCUCCAAUUUUGUUGAGCAUUAAAAUUUUUGAAAUUGAAUUAUUGUCCUUAGAAGGAUGACUCAACUCUUUGACAAAAUUUUCCAUGAAAAAUGCAACAAGACAGUCUAACACGUCUUUAUGCUGGGCUGGGCUGGGCUGGAGGGGGGUCAUCAUAGAAACAGUACACUCACUAUUUAUUAUAUUAAAGUAAAUAUAUUUGAUAAAUAAUUAAAAUAUUAUAAUUUUUUUUUUAAAAUAGAAAAAUAUAGGAUAAGACAAAAUAAUAUCUAAACCCACCCGAAUCCAACCCGAGUAUUAAAAAAUUUUCAAACCCACCGCAAACGUGUAUUCAAAUUUCAAAUUUGUCCUACAGGGUGGAAAAAACCCGCCCAGGACAGUUGCCAAAUCUGACUAGCAAAGAGUGUGGAAAGAUUUUCAGUGGUUCGAUUUGGCUUUUUAGGUGUUAGGUUUAGUGGUUGACUUGGAAAUGUGAUGCACAUUUUUGAGGAUGUGUCUUUAUAAUAUUAUUAUAUCUAUAGAAACUUAGCCCAAUCAACAAGAUGGGGCUGUGAGUGGAGAAAAAAGCUAUGAAUUCUACUCAUAUUGUCGAUGAAAAGUUUGAGAAGAAACAUGAUGAUGUUUUUGGUAUAGUUGAUAAAAAAUUUAUUGACUAUUAAAUUUUACAUUUUAAAUGUUUUUUUUUUCAUGUGUCGGUAGUUUGAUAUCUAUAGGAAUGUAAUGCUAAUACCAUUUAAGGGGGCAAUGAUUCAAAAUUUAAAUUCAUAAUGAUUGAUACCAUAAAAGUGAGAGUGUUUAAUGGUGUUGUAAGGACAUCGAGUAAUUUUUUUUGGGAGCUUUGGAAACAUUAGGCUAUGAUUUUUCUCGGUGAAAAAUGAUAUUAUAAAUUUCAACAAAAGUGCUUUGAUAGCUAUGAAAGGGGAAAAGAUGAAAAAAUUAUGUACUUUAAUUGGAAAGAUAAUUUAAGGUAGAGCUCUUAAGGUGGAGUCAUGCCAUGAAGAGUCUUUUACUGGUGUUAAAGAUAUUAUCGAGAGUAGAUGAACAUGAUAAGAUGAUUAGAACUCUAUUUUUCGGCUAAAAGUACCCAUUAACAUAAGGAUGAAAGCAAUUUCAAAAUAAAUAAAAUUAUGAAUAAAACAAAGAUGAUUUCAAUGAGAGUUUGAACUUGACGUAUGUUUAUUCUCAUUAAAUGUAUAGGAUUAAGAAAACUUAAGUCGAGAUGGAGAUUGUUGGUAUUUAACUCAAACUAUUUAUUUUUAAUUUUUAAGAAAGUUAAUAUUUAUAGAAGUUGCAUUUUUGUAAAUUAUUUAUUAACAAAAAGUAAUUGGAGCCGUUUGGAGCAAUAAGAAAAUUGUUUGCUAAGUUUGUAACUAGAUGCAUAAAAAUUCACGCAUAUUUCAAUAUCAUUAAAAUUAGUUAAAAACUUUUGCAUUUUCCAAUUAUUUCAUGGUUAUAUAAAAGAAUUGAAACAUAUGAGAUGAGUUUAAAGUGACAUACAAAAUAAAUAAUUAAAUUUAAAUUUAUUGUUUUCUUUUUUAUUUUAUUUUUUCUACUUUUGCCUUUAUUUUUUUCUCUCACAUUUUCCUCACAUUUUUUGAAGAAUCAAACAUGAACUUUAUAUGAAGUUCCCCAUAAAAAUAAAAAAUAAAAAAAGUAAAAAAUCGUAAGUUGAUGAAUCACAAUACUAAAAGUGCGUUUAACAGUGAUUACAUGAAACGUUUUUAAUAUUUUUAACACUUGAAAAUUUUUAUCUUUUUAAGUGUUAGAAGGAUAAAAAACGCUUUCGACAAUCAUUGUUAAACAGGUUUUAAAGAUCUAUCUUAACUAACCAUUCCCUUUC